rnacentral:lncRNA from 1 species
UGUGUUUACCCUAAAAUGCUUUUUCCUCGUAUGCAUUUCAGGGUGUAGGGAUUCUCAUGGAAAAUACUUCCCAUGGCUGGCAUGGGAGUUGAAGAAUUGUUGCAUGUGCAGCCAAAGGUAAAAGAGGGAUUCAUGUGUUACCUGAAUUGCAUUUUAUCUGAUUUACAAUUUGAUUAUAUGUAUGUUUGUGCAGUCUGGUGCUUGUGUUGCUCAUUUCUAUAUGUGCUAAAUGGAGGAUUUCUUUUUCAUCCAAAACCCUAGUAUUGCAGGAGAUAGUUGCUUUAUGGGUCAGUCUUCUUACCAAAUCUUAACUCUAUGCUGACUUCUUUUUCUUUGAUUUCCUACUCUUUGUUCUGCAUAUGUGUUUUCAACCUAACUAUUUUCAUAGGGAUCAAUGGAAAUUAUGAUUUUUCAAAGAAUAUUGAAAGUAGAAGAAAAUUAAGCAUUUGUGAAAUAUGGAGGAGCAAAAUGAUUUCUUAGUUUUAGCACAUCAGUUUACAGAAGAUAUUGUAAUUUCACAUGAUGAAAAUGAAGAGGGGAACCCAGAUUUCCAAUGGAGGGACUUUUUGGGCUUGGGGGACUAGAAAUGCAAGAUAUAAGUGCAAAUAUUGGAGUUACCCAACCAUAAAUCUGUCCGAAAAACUCGCUUUAAGGGGAGGAUGUUCCUCAUACACAAGAUGGAUUUAGCAUGGGGAUAAUUAGAUCCUAGAUGUUUGUAAGACUCAAUUCUAUCCAGUUUGCGUCCUUUUGGGGCUCCAUCAUGUGGGUUCUUUCCCCUUUUCGGUCAUCUUAAACUGGCUCUGAUGGUUGUUCGAUUGGUAACUCCGAAAGAUCAGAAUAGCUGUAUCUGCUAAGAUAAUGGAUGAAAUGAUAUGCUAACUUGGCAACUCGAAAAUAAUGGCCCGUGUCUUCCUCCUAUUAGGGUAUAUUGAAUUCUAAUUCAAGAAAAUUUUGCAGUAUUCAGGGUGGAAGCAGAUCACUUAAUCUUUUGUAGUAGGGAUUUAAGAGGUUUAGGCAGAUGCUUGAAGGUUUAUUCAUACUUAUUGUGAAGCAGAUCAUCUGGAAAACUGGGGAGUUAUCAUGCUGAAGACAUUUUUCUCCUUAUUGAAGUUUUCCAAACAAACCCUUCCAUCUAGGGUGAAUUAUUGGUUUCAUUUGGCUGAGUAGGAGAUUUCAGAUAGAAGCCAUCAAUCCUGGUCCUCAAGGGUGGAGUGGUAUGAUUACCAUCUAUGUAAAGACUUUGAAAUUUUUUUGUCAUUAACAAGCAUUUGUUGAUAAAUUUGCUUACCAUCUUCCACAAAUGAAAUUAUGGUUUUGAGUGUAUAAUUAUAACUGCUUAUGAUGAAAGGGAAAAACACCGACAAAGGACUCACUGGUUUUUUCUGCACAAAUGGGAGCAAUCUGUUAUUCUGGUUUCUUAUUACACACAAGCAAAACGAUCAUUUAUAGUUGUAAAUAGAGAGCUCUUCUUCUUACCUAGACUGAAAGUGACGGAGGUUUACUAUUUUAAGUUCAGUGACAUGUCCACAUUUUCUUCCUUUGCCUUACGAAGUGUUUCAAAUCCCAUUUCUUUCCAGACAUUCUUUAGCCUUUGAGCAACCGAAGAGAUAAGGGGACGCUUUUGGGGGUUCUCUUCUGUGCACAUCAUCCCUGCAUCGAGCAUGUGGAUACAGCAUUGCUCAAGCUUAUGUAAAGCACCACUCCCCUCUUCCAAAUAUGCUUCGUGCUUCAGUGAGAUGUCUACAAUAUCCAAAACUUGAUUUGGAAAAGCAGAACACACCCAUUUCCUUAGAUCAAGUCCAUCUGAAAACAUUUCAUUCGUUGGUCUCUUCCGUGUUAUCAUCUCUAACAUCAUCACUCCAAAACUGUAUACAUCUCCUCUUGUUGAGACAUCGAUCCCCUGCCCAUAUUCUGUGUACAAGCAAUAGGAACUAUUAGCUGAAUCACUGUACUUUUAUUUAUAUCCCUUCAAAUUAGGAUAGUCUGUUUAAAGAAAGAGACAUGGAUAGAUGCAGUUGGUUCAUAUUAACUAUCUGAAUAUCACAAGAAUGCAAGCAUCCUUCUUUUUCAUUUAGAUGUAAAUGCUUCUCAUUGGAAAAGCGAUUAGGAAACUAUCUGAAUAUCACUGUACUUAAAGAAAAGCGGGAGAAUAACCAACAAGACAUACCAUGUUGUUAAACAAAUUUAUCAUAAUGGUAUAUGAGGAAACACACAAAACCCUAUUUUUUCUUCUCGACUUCUAUCCUAUUAUUAACAGUUAGUUCUCUAGAAUAUAUGACCAUUGGGUAGGCAGUCAAAUGAAUGAAAACUAGACUAGUUUGAAGUUCAUGUGAGAUGAAAGAUUGGCAUUCAUGAUUAAAAGUAAUUAUCUAGUCUGAUAACUUAUCAUUUACUUCUCAGAUUUGAAGGUAGGUCGCUAACUUUUCCAAGAAGAUUCAAAGGGAUUAUGAAGCAUAGGAUUGAAGAUUUAUAUAAGGUAAUCAAAUGCAUACCUGGGGGGAUAUACCCGACAGAUCCUCGUAGAAAAGCAGUUGUGGUAGUAACAUGUCCUCUUGGUUUGUCACCUGAAAUGAGCUUUCCAAUACCAGAAUCUCCUACAUGAGCCACCAUAUCAUUGUCCAAAAGAACAUUUUGUGGUUUCAGGUCACAGUGUACAACUUGAACAGGACAACCCUCAUGAAGAUACUCCAAGCCAUUUGCAACAUCUAUUGCUAUUCCCAUUCUUUCCCUCAAUUUUAAUUCACUACCUCCUUCAUCUGACCCACCAGGGUAAAGAUGCUGUUCCAAGUUCCCAUUGCCUAUAUACUCGAGAACAAUAGCCUUGAAUCCUGAAUUCCAGGUCGAUCCUAUCAUUCUAACCAGAUUCCUAUGUCUAAUUUCAGACAGUAUUUGACACUCCCUUUUAAAACUUCUGUAACCCUGAACACGCUCUUCUUGCAGAACCUUAACUGCCACAACAGUUUUUCCAUCAUUGAUGAUAGCUUUAUACACCCUACCAAAACUUCCUUCCCCUAAUAGAUUAGCCUCAUCAAAACCGCCAGUAGCAAUUUCGAUUUCCCUUUCAGUUAAAGUUUGGGUUCCAUGAUGGGUUGGGGAAUACAUUAGAAUUGCAGUCUCCGCACCUGCACUCCUAUUUUUGAAGAAGAAACGACGAACAGUGAGGGCGAUCAGCACAAAGAGAAGCAGAGAACAAGUUAAUAUUGCAAACAGGUAAUAAAUCCAUUUCCUUUUCUUGUGCUUUUGUUUCAGAAUUUCACAUGGAUGGAGACCCAUAAGUUUGGUGCCACCACAGAGCCCCAUAUUCCCCAUGAAUGAGCUGCUUCCUAGAUUUUUAUACCUCCCACUAUUUGGAACCUCUCCUGUUAAUCUGUUAUACGAUAAAUUGAGAUUCUUGAUCUUCUGGCUGUCACCAAUCCAGAUUGGAACAUUUCCUGUUAAAUUAUUGAAAGCCAAGUCCAGAUAUCCUAGAUCAAUGAUUUGCUUCAGGGACUCUGGGAUUGUACCUUCAAGCAUGUUGUGAGAGAGGUUCAGAUACUCCAUUGAAAUGCAUCUUCCAAUCGAACUUGGUAUCACUCCGAAGAAUUUAUUCGCUGACAAGUCAAUUGCCAGCACAGAUGCCAGAUUUCCAAUACUAGCAGGUAGUUCUCCUUCAAGAUUGUUGUUCGAAAGGUUGAGUGAAAGAGCCAGGUUUGAGAAAUGACCAAUUUCUGUGGGAAGAGACCCUUGUAAGUUGUUAAAAGACAAAUCAAGAAGCAUUAGAAGAGAACAUUGGGUGAGUUCGAUGGGAAUUUUCCCUGUGAGGUGGUUGUGAGACAAGUAAAGAUAUCUCAACUGUGACAGAUUACCAAGAGAAGAUGGGAUUGUCCCACUAAUCAAAUUAUCACUAAGUUCCAGUAAACCAAGGUUAGCCAUCUGCCCAAGUUCAUCUGGAAUUGGCCCAAGAAGUUUGUUUCUUCCCAAGUGUAAUCUCUGCAACUGCCUAAGCUUCCCAAUUGUUGCAGGAACUCCAUUCAAAAAAUUAUACCACAGGUCUAGAGUCACAAGGCCGCUUAGAUUUCCAAUUUCAGCUGGUAGGUCUCCUGUUAAUUUGUUGUUUCGAAGAUUCAAGUAGUAGAGAUCUUUGGAAAGACUGCCAAUUGAAGCCGGUAAACUUCCUGCAAACAGACAUGCCCCUAAGUGCAGUUUCUGUAGACGUGAACAAUUAGUGAGAGGAGUUAGAAAACUGAGGGAAGAGUUGUUGGAACCGCUCACCAGGUUAUUGCUAUGAAGGUAAAGUCUCUCAAGUUUCUUCAACUUCCCCAACUCAGGAGGGACUUCCCCCUCUAACUGGUUGAGGCUAAGAUCAAGCAGUGUCAGCUGAGAAAGAUUGGACAGGGUCACUGGAAUUUUCCCAGAAAGUUGGUUUUCUUGGAAGUACAAUCUCUGCAAGUUAUGGAGCUUUGACCCCAAUUCGAAAGGGAUUGUUCCCGUUAACCGAUUCUCAAUCAGUGUAAUGUGACGCAGGGCAGUGCAAUUACUGAUGGAUGCAGGUAUGCUUCCUUCCAAAAAGUUGAUGUGGAGGUACAAUAUCUCCAGCUUUGUUAAUGCUCCUAGCUCCUCUGGAAUCCUUCCUGUGAAGUAAUUAACUUGCAAUUCUAAAUCUGUCAGCUUUGUCAGAUUCGAAAGAAACGAUGGUAUAGCUCCAGUGAGGCUGUUCUCAGAGAGACAAAG